GGUCCGGUAGCUCAGCUGGAUAGAGCAUCAGCCUUCUAAGCUGAGGGUCAUGCGUUCGAAUCGCAUCCGGAUCACCA
rnacentral:tRNA from 1 species